UGAUUGUCCAAACGCAAGCUCAG
rnacentral:miRNA from 1 species